GGCGAACGGGUGAGUAACACGUGGGUGAUCUGCCUUGCACUCUGGGAUAAGCUUGGGAAACUGGGUCUAAUACCGGAUAGGAACCGUCUUUAGUGUGGUGGUUGGAAAGUUUUUUCGGUGCAAGAUGAGCUCGCGGCCCAUCAGCUUGUUGGUGGGGUAAUGGCCUACCAAGGCGUCGACGGGUAGCCGGCCUGAGAGGGUGUACGGCCACAUUGGGACUGAGAUACGGCCCAG
rnacentral:rRNA from 1 species